UUAGCUCAGUGAUGGAGCACUCACCCUCGCUUCUUCAUGUGUUUACCAGGUAUACAGGUAACCACUCCUCUUAGCUCAGUGAUGGAGCACUCACCCUCGCUUCUUCAUGUGUUUACCAGGUAUACAGGUAACCCUCCUCUUAGCUCAGUGAUGGAGCACUCACCCUCGCUUCUUCAUGUGUUUACCAGGUAUACAGGUAACCCUCCUCUUAGCUCAGUGAUGGAGCACUCACCCUCGCUUCUUCAUGUGUUUACCAGGUAUACAGGUAACCACUCCUCUUAGCUCAGUGAUGGAGCACUCACCCUCGCUUCUUCAUGUGUUUACCAGGUAUACAGGUAACCACUCCUCUUAGCUCAGUGAUGGAGCACUCACCCUCGCUUCUUCAUGUGUUUACCAGGUAUACAGGUAACCACUCCUCUUAGCUCAGUGAUGGAGCACUCACCCUCGCUUCUUCAUGUGUUUACCAGGUAUACAGGUAACCACUCCUCUUAGCUCAGUGAUGGAGCACACACCCUCGCUUCUUCAUGUGUUUACCAGGUAUACAGGUAACCCUCCUCUUAGCUCAGUGAUGGAGCACUCACCCUCGCUUCUUCAUGUGUUUACCAGGUAUACAGGUAACCCUCCUCUUAGCUCAGUGAUGGAGCACUCACCCUCGCUUCUUCAUGUGUUUACCAGGUAUACAGGUAACCACUCCUCUUAGCUCAGUGAUGGAGCACUCACCCUCGCUUCUUCAUGUGUUUACCAGGUAUACAGGUAACCACUCCUCUUAGCUCAGUGAUGGAGCACUCACCCUCGCUUCUUCAUGUGUUUACCAGGUAUACAGGUAACCCUCCUCUUAGCUCAGUGAUGGAGCACUCACCCUCGCUUCUUCAUGUGUUUACCAGGUAU